UUGCAGUCUGCAACUCGACUGCAUGAAGCCGGAAUCGCUAGUAAUCGCGGAUCAGAAUGCCGCGGUGAAUACGUUCCCGGGUCUUGUACACACCGCCCGUCACACCAUGGGAGUCGGAAAUGCCCGAAGCCGGUGGCCUAACCGAUAAGGGAGGAGCCGUCGAAGGCAGGUCUGAUGACUGGGGUGAAGUCGUAACAAGGUACC
rnacentral:rRNA from 1 species